UUUCUCUGCGAGGUGCGGGAGGCCGGAGCGCGGAGGGAUACGACGCACGGGGAGGAGGGGCUGCGGCGGGGCAGCGGCUAUUCGCGGCGACGGCGGCGGGGAGGCUGGAAGUUACCGAGUUUCAGUGGCGCAGAAAUGGGAAGCGAGCGAAGCCAAAAUGCCUCCGGGGAGCGUGGCCCCGUUGGGGAGGCGGGCUGAGGAAGCCCAGCCUUUCUCUACUCCACUCUUCUCCGCCCUCGUUCUCUGCGGCUUCUCCACCCCCCGUAGUCAGGCCCCUCUCGGGCGCGGGGCUUUGGCUGCCCCGAGCUCUGUCGGAGCCCGCCGAGGGCCUCCGGGUGCUGUGGUUUUGGCAUCUGCGCCUAAGUGCCAGUGUCAGGCGUUGUUGGUUCUUACUCUUGCAACAUCCUGCCCGGGGACGCCUUCGUGCCUUGGGUUCGGGCGAAGGGAAAUCCCAACAAGCACCAAACAACCAGAAACGCACUUUUCCCCGCGGCUUGGGAGGGCUGCCUGGGCAGCUCUGCUCGGCUCUGGGUGUCUAGGGGUGAAGGGCUCGCAGGUGCACUCGCUUUGGAAACUCUCCUUCGAAAACAAACGACCCCAAACAUCUAAUAGUGAUUUUAUUCAUUACUCUUGCCGACAACCAAACUAGACACGGGGGAAUGACGAAUCUUCUGGCUUCUAGGAGCGAUAGCAAGCGGAGCAGUGUUGUCAACGCGAGGAGAGCCGAGGGAUGGUGAUGCCUGCAACCUAUGGCUGAACUGGAGGUGUGUUUCCGAGGCCGGUGAGCUUGGUGCAGGAGUCUGCUGCUUCAGCUUUGUGCUUGACAACAGUGAGAAAGCUUGCUGCAGCCACCCUUCUGCUUCGCUGCACAAACAUAACCCUGAAGGGUUAGAGAAAGGAGGCUAAAAUGUCACACUUCUGAAAAACCAUGUUACCAGAAGUGAUGGAAAUGAGGUUCGUACAGCAGGUGCCUAGUUGCUGUGCGUUUUGAUGUACAAUUAUCCAAUGUCCUAAAAAUCCUUGAAAUCGUCUAGCAUGUGGUGUGUAAUCACAGGGGUAAAUGUGUUUUGUAGCGUAUGUUUUUGAGAAGUAAAUUUCUGCACAGUAGUUUUGAUCAGUUUAUCUGUAGUUACACUCACUUUAUACAUUUUAAAAGGGAUAAGUGUCUCCCUUUCCCCUGUUUUUAUGAUAAUAACCACUCUGUUUCAGCUUUAUUUUAACUCCAUGCUUCCAACAACUGAGAGAGCAGUGAAAUCACAGUUACUAGCUAAUAAAGAUUUUUAAACCCAAA